UUCUAAUAUGGCAGAUUAUA
rnacentral:tRNA from 1 species